UCCGGGCGGACGCCGAGUCCUGCCGCCGCCCGGACGACCGGUCGACAGGAGUGGAUCGGCAGGAGUGGAGGACCCGGCAAGGCGGGCCGUCCGAGAGAGAUCCGGACGGUCCUUGGGGUGAAGCCGCGUGAGCGGCCGGGCUACUUCGCCAGCCCGAAUCCGACAGGUCAUCCUUCACAGGCGGCUGACGAAGGGUUG
rnacentral:sRNA from 2 species